AAAUACUUCAUUGAGACUUCGGUGGAUUUGAUUUAUUUCUAGUGGCGGACGGGUGAGUAACGCGUGGGUAACCUGCCUUAUACAGGGGGAUAACAGUCAGAAAUGGCUGCUAAUACCGCAUAAGCGCACAGAGCUGCAUGGCUCAGUGUGAAAAACUCCGGUGGUAUAAGAUGGACCCGCGUUGGAUUAGCUGGUUGGUGGGGUAACGGCCCACCAAGGCGACGAUCCAUAGCCGGCCUGAGAGGGUGAACGGCCACAUUGGGACUGAGACACGGCCCAGACUCCUACGGGAGGCAGCAGUGGGGAAUAUUGCACAAUGGGGGAAACCCUGAUGCAGCGACGCCGCGUGAAGGAAGAAGUAUCUCGGUAUGUAAACUUCUAUCAGCAGGGAAGAUAGUGACGGUACCUGACUAAGAAGCCCCGGCUAACUACGUGCCAGCAGCCGCGGUAAUACGUAGGGGGCAAGCGUUAUCCGGAUUUACUGGGUGUAAAGGGAGCGUAGACGGUGUGGCAAGUCUGAUGUGAAAGGCAUGGGCUCAACCUGUGGACUGCAUUGGAAACUGUCAUACUUGAGUGCCGGAGGGGUAAGCGGAAUUCCUAGUGUAGCGGUGAAAUGCGUAGAUAUUAGGAGGACACCAGUGGCGAAGGCGGCUUACUGGA
rnacentral:rRNA from 1 species